rnacentral:rRNA from 1 species
GACGAACGCUGGCGGCGUGCUUAACACAUGCAAGUCGAACGGAAAGGCCCUGCUUUUGUGGGGUGCUCGAGUGGCGAACGGGUGAGUAACACGUGAGUAACCUGCCCUUGACUUUGGGAUAACUUCAGUAAACUGGGGCUAAUACCGGAUAGGAGCUCCUGCUGCAUGGUGGGGGUUGGAAAGUUUCGGCGGUUGGGGAUGGACUCGCGGCUUAUCAGCUUGUUGGUGGGGUAGUGGCUUACCAAGGCUUUGACGGGUAGCCGGCCUGAGAGGGUGACCGGCCACAUUGGGACUGAGAUACGGCCCGGACUCCUACGGGAGGCAGCAGUGGGGAAUAUUGCAAAAUGGGCGGAAGCCUGAAGCAGCAACGCCGCGUGCGGGAUGACGGCCUUCGGGUUGUAAACCGCUUUCGCCUGUGACGAAGCGUGAGUGACGGUAAUGGGUAAAGAAGCACCGGCUAACUACGUG